AGAUAUUGAAGUAUGUAGGGAGAUCAUAAUCAUCAAGAAGAACAUGGAACUGAAGACUCCGCAUCAGAUUGUUGCUAGAUGUAAGUUUUGUGAAAUUUAAUAUGUUCACGUUGAAAAAAAAAAAAAUUCUGAUUUGGGUUGACUGUAAGCAUGUAUUGAAGUCAUGGUGUUGAAGGCGGUUAGCCUAAAGCAGAUGUAAAAUAAAUGACAUCAAAUUAUUAUGGUAAAUACAAAUAAUGAAA
rnacentral:lncRNA from 1 species